GCGUGUCGGUGGGUGCGGGCCUCGGCGAAGGGGUGGGGCCGUGACACAAAGGAGGUCUUGGCGCCUAGCGGCUCGCGUCUCCGUGGGGCUUCCAGGAGCUGGGGAGCUUUCCUGUUGCCGGGCUGGUGUCUGUUCCUCUGAUCCGUGGAGUCGCUCACCGUCCAGCAGUCUCGCGUCGGCCGGGCGACCCAUGGACAGCGUGUGCCAGAGUAUUGGCGGGGGAGGUGCAGGGCUGUGGGGAGUGGUUGCGUUGAAGCUGCUGGUGGUCCUCAGCUAACUGGGGAGCGUGUCUGAGGCCCAGGAAGUUACCGAUGCUGGAAGGGGAAGCCCUGGGCCCAGAACCGCCUAGAGCUGGAAGCCAACAGUAACUCUGGGAAAAAACCCAACCGUUAAGGUGGUUUAAUUUUGGCCAAGAAGAUGAACAGGAAAGACAGCCAAAUCAUUGCAGAAUGAAGAGAAGGGCGCUGUAGGGUUUAUUUAUUUAUUUUUAAAUGAAAAUGGGAAGAAGCAAGAUUUGUAGUCUGGUGCUACCUGGAGGCCCCCCACUCCUCAAUCUGAUAAUCAUCCAUAUUUUGCUUGUUUCUCUUACCCAAGCUCACAUACUCCACUUGCAGCUGGAAGCAGGGAUCCCAUAUCUGCUUCCUGAGAAGUGGUAUUUGCAGAGGUUUUAUUUGUCUGCUCAGGCAAAUGUAACAAAAUACCACAGACUAGGUAUCUUAAACCAGAAAUCUAUUUUCUCAGAGUGCUGAAUCCGAGAAGUCCAAGACCAAAGUGCCAGCAGGGUUGGAUCUGGUGAGGCCUCUCUUCUUGGCUCUUAGACAGCUGUCCUUUUGCCGUAUUCUCACAUGGCCUAUUGUGUGGCACUCAGAGGGCGAAGAUACAGGGAGAGAGCUCUGGUGUCUCCUCCACUUCUUAGAGAGACACCAGUCCUAUCAGAUUAGGGCCCCAUCCCUGUGACCUCAUUUAAUCUUUAUUACUUCUGUAGAGGCCUUAUCUCUAAAUACAGUCACAUUGGGGAUUAGGACUUAUCAUAUACCUUUUGAGGGACACACUUCAGUCCAUAACAAUCAGUAUAGGAGAAAAACGAUGGAGUGAAUUCUAGAGUAGUCACACUCUGAUGUUGGAAGUGCAAGGUGAGCCGCUGUAAAAAACGUACCUUUCAAGUCGAAGUAGGAUGUUAGUACUGGAGGCUAAAGGGAAGUCCCACAUCUUCGACAGAUGAUUGAGUCUUUGGCAGAGAAAACCCAGAACAUGGUCAGUUACAGUCUUUUCUAUCUGCCAGCCAUUGCUUCCAGGUAGUGGUGAUUCUGAAGUGAAUAUCUAUCACAACCUAAUUUACUGCAUGGAAUCAGGAAUUUGGAGUUGAAAAGCAGCACUCCCAAAACCCGAAAAGUACCGUGCUGUCAUGUAAAAUAAAGAUUACUGCCCCAGGAGACAGGAGAUCUGAUAUGUCUCCUUUGUUCUGCUGCUAACCAGAUGUGAGUUCGUUAACCAUCUGUAUUCUACCCCAUAUGGCGGUGUCAUGUGUCCUCAGCCCCAGAGUUCGUUUGUUUUAGCCACAACCAGACACAGGUCUGUUGGUUACCAGUCUCUUAAUUGGUCUGACCAUCACAAUCUAUAUGAUGCCUGACAACUGCUGAGAAAUAAUGGUCCACUUCCUUUUUGAGAAGAGUGGAAAACCCCAGAGAAACAGACCAUCAGGGGGAUGCCAGCCAGCUCCCAGGAGUGAGGUGGGGGGAAGAGUGUGCUGAUGGCAGACAUUAGGAGGGAGGGCAGAAGGUGCCACCACUGGUUCUACAUCAUCACAGAGAAUGGUUGGGCAUAGAGCAGGGAGUGGUGUGGCGAUGGAGCAGCAGCAGGUGGAGAGAAUGCCUUUGUUGAGCAAUUAGAGUGGGAGAUACCAUUUUGAUUUUGUAAAUAUGUGUAUGAGAGUGCAUUAAAUUUUAAACAAGGGAGAUAAAUAAUGUUUUCUUUUGUUUCUGAUGAGAUUUUUUUCUGUAAUAUUAAGGAAGUCAAUAUGAUGAUAAAUGGAGCACUGGUGCUGAACUCCAGACCCAGGGUUAAAGAGUUGAAAAGGGAGACUCGAGAAGCUAUCCUCACCGUAAGAGACUGAGAUGCCUGCCCACUGCUGAGCCCUCCGGUGCAACGUGGCCGAUGUAAUCUGGGCCCUGUUAAUCUAAUAGUGUUCAAUCUAAUAGUGUGAUUCUUUGUUGUAUUAAGCCCCCUGGUCCUUGUGGCAGCACAGUGAGAAGAAACGGGGCAGCUGUGACGCGGGGCCCCUGUGGAGGGCACUUCACUAAUAUAAAGAGCAACAGUUAUCAGUUUUGAAGAACUUCCUCUACUGGCACUGUGCUUUGACCUGGGUUUAUAGUGCUGAGGCAAAAAUAGAAAUAAAAAUAGACAUGGCUGCA